rnacentral:rRNA from 1 species
CACGUAGGGCGCAAGCGUUGUCCGGAAUUAUUGGGCGUAAAGAGCUCGUAGGCAGUCCGUCACGUCCGCUGUGAAAACCCAGGGCUCAACCCUGGGCUUGCAGUGGAUACGGGCAGACUAGAGGUAGGUAGGGGAGAAUGGAAUUCCCGGUGUAGCGGUGAAAUGCGCAGAUAUCGGGAGGAACACCAAUGGCGAAGGCAGCUCGCUGGGACGUGACUGACGCUGAGACGCGAAAGCGUGGGGAGCAAACAGG